rnacentral:rRNA from 1 species
UAGGGAGUAUUAGUAAUGGGCGAAAGCCUGAACUAGCAACGCCGCGUGUGCGAAGAAGGCCUUCGGGUUGUAAAGCACUUUUUGAGAGGAUGAGGAAGGACGGUACUCUCAGAAUAAGUCUCGGCUAACUACGUGCCAGCAGCCGCGGUAACACGUAGGAGGCGAACGUUAUCCGGAUUUACUGGGCGUAAAGCGCGUGUAGGUGGUUUGGUAAGUAGGGCGUGAAAGCUCCUGGCUCAACUGGGAGAGGCCGUUCUAAACUGCCGAACUAGAGGAUGGUAGAGGGAGGUGGAAUUCCGGGUGUAGCGGUGGAAUGCGCAGAUAUCCGGAGGAACACCAGUGGCGAAGGCGGCCUCCUGGACCACUCCUGACACUCAGACGCGAAGGCUAGGGUAGCAAACGG